rnacentral:lncRNA from 10 species
GGAGGAAACACGUAAUGUGGAUUGCGGAAAUGAAUGAAGACCAACACAACGAGAAAGCAAAGGCGCCUGGAUCAGAGUUUGCCAGGUUGCCGGCCGCCCUCGCGUGUGUUCCAGCGGAGACUCACGGCAGAGGAGAGGGAAGGCUUUGCAGUGGGACAAACGGAAGGCCCCGGGCGUGCCCAGCUUGGAGGCUGUUGGCCUGGAAGGCUGGAGGAGUGUUGACGUGACAGGCCCCAGGAGCUCCAAAGUUUGAGUUACCAUUUGGUGUCAUUUUCUUCUCACAGAACAGCUUUGUUCCCAGUACCUCCUUUGUUCUCUUAUUGUCAAAUAUGUCGCAUUUCUAUAUGUUAUAGUGCCCACAAUAUAGUAUGAUUGCAUAUGUAUUGUCUUAAGCAAUUGCUUUUUAAAUAAGUAAAGAUAAGAAACCGAAAUGUACAAGUGCACUGUCUUUAGUAAUUAUGUACAAAAUUACCUUUGCCAGUGUUUCUGUGUGUGUAUAGAAUUACUGUCUGGUGUUGCUUGCUUUCAGGUUCAAGAACUUUCUUUGGUAUUUCUUGUAAGGCAGAUCUUCUAGCAAUAAAUUUAGUUUUUGUUUAUCUGAAAA